GUAUAAAUACUGGUACCGGGUGUAGGAGUAGCACAGGUACUAAUACCAGGUGUAUAAAUACUGGUACCGGCUGUAGGAGUAGCACAGGUACUAAUACCAGGUGUAUAAAUACUGGUACCGGCUGUAGGAGUAGUACAGGUACUAAUACCAGGUGUAUAAAUACUGGUACCGGCUGUAGGAGUAGCACAGGUACUAAUACCAGGUGUAUAAAUACUGGUACCGGCUGUAGGAGUAGUACAGGUACUAAUACCAGGUGUAUAAAUACUGGUACCGGCUGUAGGAGUAGUACAGGUACUAAUACCAGGUGUAUAAAUACUGGUACCGGCUGUAGGAGUAGUACAGGUACUAAUACCAGGUGUAUAAAUACUGGUACCGGCUGUAGGAGUAGUACAGGUACUAAUACCAGGUGUAUAAAUACUGGUACCGGCUGUAGGAGUAGUACAGGUACUAAUACCAGGUGUAUAAAUACUGGUACCGGCUGUAGGAGUAGCACAGGUACUAAUACCAGGUGUAUAAAUACUGGUACCGGCUGUAGGAGUAGCACAGGUACUAAUACCAGGUGUAUAAAUACUGGUACCGGCUGUAGGAGUAGUACAGGCACUAAUACCAGGUGUAUAAAUACUGGUACCGGCUGUAGGAGUAGCACAGGUACUAAUACCAGGUGUAUAAAUACUGGUACCGGCUGUAGGAGUAGUACAGGCACUAA